rnacentral:lncRNA from 1 species
ACCCCUGGCCCCCCUCCCCACCCCUGUGUGCCCACCAGAGCCAUUGCAUGUCCUCCUCCCAACCCUGCAAGCUGAGCUGAGCUGCCCCUGCCCGACUGACCUGGCCCUCAAGGGACGCCCUUGAUGCCGAGUACAUCAUGAGAAACGCUGGGCUGGAAGAAUAUCAAUGCCCUACCAGGGGGCGCCAUGCCAACGGAACCCUCCCAAGAGAAUUCCAUUCCAACGGAAUUCCACAGGCUCAACCCUCAUGCAGAAUUCCAUUCCGACGGGAUUCCACAGGCUCAACCCUCUUGCAGAGGCCCCCAGAUCCCCAGGAGUCGCCAGCAAGGUGUGGACUGAUGGCACUGUGAGGCAGAGGACAGUCUGAGGAAAAUCCCAGCAAAGAAGUGGUGUCUGAAAGCACGCGCAGAGCAAGCUCCGGGAGUUGGUGACGGGCAGGGAAGCCCGGCCUGCUGCGGCCCACGGGGUUGCAAGGAAUCGGACACGACUGAACAAGUGAGGCAGAAUCUCAGAGCAAGCAGGAGGUCCUGAGGCAGAGAGGGAAAGACGGAGGUCCUGAGGCGGAACUUACAGAAAGCGGGAGGUUUCGAGGGAAAAAGGGAGCGGCUCGUGGCGUAGAUAAUAUUUUCCUGGAGAGACACGUAUAUACUGGCGGGCGUGGGCGUGAAACCUGCAUAGUUCAGGCCCAGUCUGAAGAGUCAUUCCAUUCGGGAUGGAAUUUGAAGCCGCCACAUGGCACCUGAGAUCGGCACAAAGAUGAAUCCCGGCGAUCAAGCACCUGAGUUAUCAAAAUCUGCAGACGUUGCCCCCGACAGCCGCAGCGGAC